CUCGCUUCUCGGCCUUUUGGCUAAGAUCAAGUGUAGUAUCUGUUCUUACCGGUUUCAUAUCUGAUACAUCUUCGAUGUGGGGACGCUGCGGCUUUUUGGAGUAAGGAGGUGGGCUUGGGAGCUUGCUCCGUCCUCUCCACGCAUCAGCCUGGUAUUGUGGUGCUUCCAAGAUGGGUGCGUUUCCC